rnacentral:rRNA from 1 species
AGGUGUGUGCGCUGAGCUGUUCGGGGCGGUGGAAUGAACUUGGUUUUGAGGCCAGCUUGCUGGUACCCGGACUGAGCGAGUGCCAUUCGCUUUGGGCUUGAGCAGGGGACCUGGCUUACGGGCUCUUAUAGGGCGCCGAGCUGGUCGUUGUGAAGCGGUCUCGCAUGCGACACGUGCCGUGCGUGCUCAGUUUUGUCUCGUGUGAGAUCUCACAUGUUUCCCAGGGCUCAGUGUAAAAGCUGGUCAUCUAUCCGACCCGUCUUGAAACACGGACCAAGGAGUUUAUCGUGUGCGCAAGUCAUUGGGUGUUGAAAACCCAGAGGCGCAAUGAAAGUGAAGGCAUCCCUUGCGGAGCCGACGUGCGAGCCCGGGCACCACGGUGCCAGGAUGCAGCAUGGCCCCAUCCUGACUGCUUGCAGUGGGGUGGAGGAAGAGCGUACGCGGUGAGACCCGAAAGAUGGUGAACUAUUCCUGAGCAGGAUGAAGCCAGAGGAAACUCUGGUGGAAGUCCGAAGCGAUUCUGACGUGCAAAUCGAUCGUCUGACUUGGGUAUAGGGGCGAAAGACUAA